AUUGAGCUGCCAAAUAAAUCUUUUUUUCUUUUUUUCUUUUUGACCUCUCACGUGCACCCCUUAAACGAAUGGCAUCUGAUCACGUGACAUAACCAUAACCAACCAUGUGACUACAGUCAGACAGACACUCCAACGUGCAACAUCAUCCCUGCCAUUUCACCCACCAACGUGUCCACCAUCUCACGCUCCAUCUCCGCCACCAGCUCCUCCGCCUCCUCCUCAAACGCCGUCGUUCCCACCACCCGCGUACCCAUUCCUAUAUCACCUUCUAUCAACUCAUCAAUAUCUUCCAACACUUGACAUUCCGCUGCUGGGAAGCAACUAAUUUUGUCACAUAAUAUCUCACAAAGUUUUAAUCCACACAUUUGAUGUGUAUUCCUUGGGCCGCAUUGCCCCAAUGCGGCCCAUGGUUUUAAGCUUAUGUAAGGCUUUAAAAUACCUACCAGAAGCUCGUCCACAACCUCGAAUAUAAGUUUUCGAUCCGCCGAGCCUGUAGCGCUCGUGCGGUGGCGUUUCUCAAGUUGUUGAAAGAUUGAUGGGUGGAGAGGGUGGGAUGGGGAGUACCAAUGUGAGAUGGAUAUAGGGGUUGUUUUUAAUAUCCCAGUGUGACUGAGAAUUGUUGAAAUGUAGUCAAAGUAAUCAAAAACUAAACUUCCGGUGGCGGUGGCGGUGGUGGCGGUGGUGGUGGUAGUGGUGGUGUUACCGUUAGUACUGACUUGGUAUUGGGUGGAGAGAUUGUGGGUCUUUUUAGUAUUGUAUGACAAGCUCUGACAACUAGGUAACUGUGUGAUGCUUGCUAAUGGCACCUGUAAAGUAUUUAAAAGUGGUAUUAAAAUAUGAAAAUAAUAAUAAAUAAAUAAUAAAGAAAAAAGUUUAAAAAAUAAUGAUAAUGGUGUUGGUACUAGGUAAGGCAAGUACUUGUUUUUGAGGUAAUGUUGUUUGUGAGGAAGGGGACGCCAUGUCUUUCUUGAAAGAAAUAAACUUUGUUGUGGUGUUGACCUUCACAAGAUGAUUUGAUAAUGGAGUUGACUUCUUGUUACAUUUCUUCACAAAUGGUUCUUCUUGUUGAUGCAUUUUUUUCAAUCUCAAAUCAUAUUUUUCACUUUUGA
rnacentral:lncRNA from 1 species